rnacentral:lncRNA from 1 species
UUUUUUUUUUUUUUUUUUUUUUUUUUUAAGAAGAAAACCACACUGGAGACCCUCAGAUGUUUCUCCUAAAAGUGCUUCUACUCAUGAGGUUCAAGUGUUCUGAAUGGCUUUGCAGGGUCGCGCUGUGUAUGUUACUCGGCAGACACAUCACAUCUUCGUAGAGGCGGAUUGCACAAGGCCUAGAUAUGCUUUACCCAAUAAGCAAACUGUCGCUGUCGUAUUAAAUUCUAGGACAUAAAAAUUGGCCUCACUGGGGCACCCGGGUAGCUUAGCGGUUGAGCAUCCACUUUUGGCUCAGGACGUGAUCCUGGGGUCCCAGAAUCGAGUCCCACAUCGGGCUCCCUGCAGGGAGCCUGCUUCUCCCUCUGCCUGUGUCUCUGCCUCUCUCUCUCUGUGUGUGUGUGUGUCUCUCAUGAAUAAAUAAGUAAAAUCUUUUAAAAUAAAAUUAAAUAAAUAAAUGAAUGAAUAAAUAAAUAAUAAAAUCUUCCAAAAAUAAAAAUUGGCUUCAUCGAUCACGUGAGAGUCUCGGGUUACAAACUAUAUUGUCUACGGUGGUGUUUUUCUGAAGGCAAAAAUGUCCAGUGAAUGUAUUUUUAUGACUAUACACUUUGAGUUGACUAUCAAACCGGAUUUGAUAGUCUGGAUUUACUGUCUGGAUUUAAUUACGGGGUCAACAUUGACGUAAAGUGGCGUAUUUACAAAGGUAUGGCGUGCUUCCUCGUGGGCAGGGUCUCUUUGGGGCCCAAACUUUCUCCUGGAGCAAAUGGAGGGUUUUUCAUGAAUGCGUACCAGGCAGGGAGGCAUUUCCCACUGCUCUCAUUGUCAUGUUGGGACUAUGAGAUGCUCAGGGCUGCUCACAAAGGUCCCUGCAUGUCACCUCUUCUUGUGGCCGCCGAAUGCAGAACAUGCAGGUAAGGAGGACUCGCAGAAGACCCUGAGGAAUGAGAAUGGGGUUGGUUACAAGAGCCUGGACCCCUGAGCCAUGCACAUCACCACCUGGGAGCAGCCACGGAGGGCUGGCUGUGUGGCCGCCCGGUGAUCGCCACCUGACCAAGAUCCAAACUUUGCUCUUCUGAGCCACUGAGAUUCAGAGCUUGUUCAUCUCGUAGCAGCUGGACCGACGACCUUGACUGAUCCAGUAGGUUGGCCCCUCUGUAUAAGCGUGACAUGUCGUGAUAGCUCUUUGGAUUGCAAACGAUUUGUUCUGAUUGGUGCUGCUUUAAAAGGAAGCUGCAUGCGUUAAUUCUUGUGUGUCUGUGUUGUUCUUUUAUAUUUUCAUUUUCAUGUUUUUGUUGUUGCGACACUUAACCUGAGAGCUAGAUUUUUAAGUGUGCGAUGCACACUGGUAACCGCAGACACCACACUACACAGCAUACCUGCAAGAUUCACGUGACGUAACUGGCAAUAUAAACCCGUUGGUUUGCAACCCCCUCUCUUUCUUUUCCCCCAGACCCUAGCCACCAGCAUUCCGCUGUUUGCUUCUGUAAGGUAGACUAUUUUAGAUGCCUCCUGUGGAUGGAAUUUUGCAGUAUUUGUCCUCUUGUGAUGGACGUCAUUCACGUAACAUAGCAUCCCUAAGGUUCAACGUGUUGUUGAACGUUGCGGGAUUCUGUCCCUUUUUAAGAUUGAAGGAUGGUGGCUGCUAUCUGGAAAAACAAAAACAACGCAGGCGUUGACAAGGACGUAGGGAAAAGGGAACCCUCAUGCACUGGGGAAGUGCAAAAUGGUGCAGCCACUGGGGAAAACAUUAUGCAGGGUCCUCAACAAAUUAAAACCAGAAUUACCAUGCAACCCAGCAAUCCCACUUCUAGAUGUUCAUCCAGAAGAACUGCAGUCAGGAUCUUGAAGACAUCUGUGCUCUCCUGUGUUCGUCGCAGCACUGGUCACAAUGGCCAAGAUGUGGAAACGACAUAAGUGGGUGGAUGGUGGACAAAGGAAAUGUGGUCCGUGCAUUAAUUCCUUGAAUUUUUCCUACGAUGCGAAGAUGCCGAUCAGGUAAACCUCAGCACUGACGUUGGCCAGCAAUUGGCGGGGGCCCAGAAUUGAGGAUAAAUGAUCCCACUGUAGAGGGAGCGAGUGAGUGGGCAACGUCAACUACGUUGCUCAAGCAACACAUCGAUGAUGCCUUCCACGCCGACCUCCUUCCUCCAAGUGGAAUCGUAAAUUGUGCUUCGUUGGCUGGAUGAGGAUGGCAGAUUUCAAAGUAUGUUGCACAUAUUGAGGGCUGAUGGUCUGUAUAAAAGCACAUUUUUCCAAAGAACAUAUUUUUAUAAAAUAUUCUUUGAAAUCCCUAUAAAUUCUGUAACCUUCGAAAUCCUUAAAAAUGCAUUUCCUGGGCAUACGUAAAUGCGCUCUUGGUGACUGGGGUGCGUUAGUUUUGUUGAUCAGAUUGUAGUCUUAGAGAUCAAAAGACAACGUAAUGCCUUAAAGCCAACUUCUUUCAGCACGCUUUGAAAUAACACCGCAUAACUCCUGUUUAAUAUUUACAAUUAAUUCAUAGGAUUCAUGCUUUUUGUGCUUUUCUUUAAAAGGCAGGGUGGAACACGUUCUGUUACUGGCAAGCCGCAGGACGCUCUACAGCAAGAUCUGAAAGUUGCCUCUCAGGUUGAAGGCAACAUGCGACGGGGUUGGGAGAAGUCAGCGUUUCAGAUAAUUCAAGAAAGGACACGUGUGGCGUUGUGUCAGACAAGGGAGAUGCACGAGGUGUGGAACCGCUGGGCGAGAGGGGGAUCGGGCAGGCCAUCUGUUGGAGCUUAUAUCAGGGAGAUCUGGCCCCAGCCAUCCUAUCUGCAGCGGAGAUAAAGCUAGUUUCUACAGCACAUUGCACUGCCCUGCAAAUGAGGCAGGAACUGGUCCCAGGAGCCGCCCCGUUGGGAGAGGCUGGAAUAUGGGGUAGUUUUCAGUUAGGCUCCUUCGUCCCCAGCUUGAUUGCAAGUACUUCUAUGCAUUCAUCUACUUAAUCCUCACUACACACCAGUUGGAUUGAUGUUAUGAUAGUCCUGUUGCAGAUGGAGAAACAGGUACAGGAAACAGGUUGCUUUAGUCUUAGAUUUAUGUAGUGAUCUCUUGGUUUAAAAAAACUAAAAAAAAAAAAAAAAAAAAAAGGAUUUUUAAGUAAAAAAAAUCUGAAAAAAUAAUUUAGAAAAAUAAGUUAAAUGGGGCACUUGGCUGGCUCAGACUGUAGAGCACAUGAUUCUCUUUUUUCCCUUUUUUAAAAUUUAUUUUUAUUUUAUUUUCCUUUUUUUAAAUUUAAAUUCAGUUUUGCCGAACACACAACUCGUGACCUCAGGGUUAUAUAUCUGAGCUCCAUGUUGGGUGUACAGAUUACUUAAAAUCCUUAAUCUUCUUUUUAAAGUAGGUUCCAAGGCAUCCCCGGUGGCUCAGCAGUUUAGCACCACACCUGGGUGUGAUCCUGGAGAUCCGGGGAUCAAGUCCCGCAUAGGGCUCCCUGCUUGGAGCCUGCUUCUCCCUCUGCCUGUGUCUCUGACUCUCUCUCUCUCUGUGUCUCUUAUGAAUGAA